UAUGUACUCCCUCCGUCCUGAAUUACUUGUCGCAGAAAUGGAUAAAAAUGAAUGUAUCUGGAACUAAAAUAUGUCCAGGUACAUCCAUUUCUGCGACAAGUAAUUCCGGACGGAGGGAGUACAAC
rfam:Triticum aestivum genome assembly, contig: Triticum_aestivum_CS42_TGACv1_scaffold_432943_5DL